rnacentral:rRNA from 1 species
AAACUCAAAUGAAUUGACGGGGACCCGCACAAGCAGCGGAGCGUGUGGUUUAAUUCGUUGCUACACGAAGAACCUUACCUGGGUUUGACAUAUAAGUUGUAGGGAACUGAAAAGGGACCGACCCUUCGGGGAGCUUAUACAGGUGUUGCAUGGCUGUCGUCAGCUCGUGUCGUGAGAUGUUCGGUUAAGUCCGCUAACGAGCGCAACCCUCGCCGUAUGUUACAAGUGUCAUACGGGACUGCCGGUAAAAAGCCGGAGGAAGGUGGGGAUGACGUCAAGUCAGCAUGGCCUUUAUAUCCUGGGCUACACACACGCUACAAUGGGAAGGGACAAUAGGUUGCGAAGCCGCGAGGCGGAGCCAAUCCAGCAAAACUUCCCUCAGUUCAGAUUGCAGGCUGCAACUCGCCUGCAUGAAGUUGGAGUUGCUAGUAAACGCAGGUCAGCCAUACUGCGUUGAAUACGUUCCCGGGGCUU